UACGGGGGGAGCAAGCGUUGUUCGGAUUUACUGGGCGUAAAGGGCUCGUAGGCGGCCAACUAAGUCGGAUGUGAAAUCCCCAGGCUUAACCUGGGAACUGCAUCCGAUACUGGAUGGCUUGAAUCCGGGAGAGGGAUGCAGAAUUCCAGGUGUAGCGGUGAAAUGCGUAGAUAUCUGGAGGAACACCGGUGGCGAAGGCGGCAUUCUGGACCGAUAUUGACGCUGAGGAGCGAAAGCCAGGGGAGCAAACAGG
rnacentral:rRNA from 1 species